rnacentral:lncRNA from 1 species
CCUUGUGACUUUGGCCAGGCACCAAUCAUCUGCCUCCUUCUGUGCCUGCCUGGCUGCCCCUACCCUGGGGCUCCCUCCUAGCCCCCACCUCACCUACUGGCUCACUGAGACAGAGCCAAACAUGAAAGGGAAGGUGACGGCCUGGCCAUAGGGCCCAGGAAAAUGCAGGUAUCAUUAACAGCCUGGAGCACUGUGGCCUGUCCACUCUCAACCCUCUGCUGCCCACCCCUUCCUGGAAUAGACCCCAGGCCACAUACAGAGGGGGCAAGCCCAAGGUAUGAUACCAGCAGGGCCAAGUGGACUGUCCAGAUGGGUAACGGGGGCCUGCCUUCCUCUGGCCUCCACAUAGGGGCCGCAGGUGUUCACAUGGUUGGAAAUGGGAGGGCCAAUGCUGUUCAUAGGCCGCUGUCUGGUCCACAGGACUCAACUGGCCCUCCGAACGCUAUCCCACUUUCCAGCCAGGAUUGAAGGAGAUCCCAUCUUGGGUCUAAAGGAAUGGGGGUGAAGACUGCAUCUUGUCGUUCCAGUUCCACCCCAUUCUGGCAUGGGAAGCAUGUGUGGGCUUCUACUCUAUGGGAGAUUCAUAGCCUCAAUCCUUAAGGAAUUCUCAAUCUGAAAGGAAAACACAAACCCUGACCUCAGGGAGCUCCCAGUUUGACAGUGGAGACAGAGAGGCCCUGCAUCAAGUAGAAAAACAACCCCCACUGCUCUCAAGCACACAGCAAUGAAGAUAUGUAUCCUUGGUGCUACAGGCAAAUGCUGACGAUACGACAGUGAAUACAACAUGAAAAAACAAGCACACUUCUCACCCCUAUGGAGCUUUAUUCUGGUCAGGCAGAAGGAGAAGGAAAUGUAAACAUGCAAGGAGCAACUUUUUGGCACUCCCAUUUUGCAGAAGAGGAAACAGCCUGCCUAGGUCUGCUGAUUCCUGUCCUGGAUGUGUCCCCAUCGUUAGGUGAUGCAUGACUCUACUCUGACAUCCUCUCCAGCUUUCAUCUGUUUUUAUUUU